AGAAACUAUCCGUGAGGUUGUGAGGAGAAUGAAAUUCAUGCAGACAGAGGAUUGAUUGAAGAGUAAAGAAGAGAAUAAGGAGAGAUACUGAGUGAAACCUUCAUAUCUAACUCUACACAGAGUGAGUGAUGGAGAAACUCAUUCAUCUGAUUUUAGUUUGUGUUCUCAUUUCCAUUCCAGAAAGUUUAGAAGAGAAUUUAGCACGUAGAGGAACAGUCACACAGUCAUCUACACUUUCCACCUUUGUAGCUCAAAAUGCCAUAGAUGGUAAAAGAUAUGGAUCAGGUACAGCUCCAUACUGCUCCAUUACUGGAAAUGAAUUGAGUCCAUGGUGGAGGUUGGA